GGUGGAGUCUAGCAUGCGAGUCAUUGUAGCAUACAAGGCAUACGGCUCAGUAACGCGUAGUCAACCUAACCUAUGGACGGGAAUAACCUCGGGAAACUGAGAAUAAUGCCCGAUAGAACACUAUACCUGGAAUGGUUUGUGUUCCAAAUGAUUUAUCGCCAUAGGAUGGGACUGCGGCCUAUCAGUUUGUUGGUGAGGUAAUGGCCCACCAAGACUAUUACAGGUACGGGCUCUGAGAGGAGUAGCCCGGAGAUGGGUACUGAGACACGGACCCAGGCCCUAUGGGGCGCAGCAAGCGAGAAAACUUUGCAAUGUGCGAAAGCACGACAAGGUUAAUCCGAGUGAUUUGUGCUAAACGAAUCUUUUGUUAGUCCUAGAAACACUAACGAAUAAGGGGUGGGCAAGUUCUGGUGUCAGCCGCCGCGGUAAAACCAGCACCUCAAGUGGUCAGGAUGAUUAUUGGGCCUAAAGCAUUCGUAGCCGGCUCUGUAAGUUUUCGGUUAAAUCUGUACGCUUAACGUACAGGCUGCCGGGAAUACUGCAGAGCUAGGGAGUGGGAGAGGUAGACGGUACUCGGUAGGAAGUGGUAAAAUGCUUUGAUCUAUCGAUGACCACCUGUGGCGAACGCGGUCUACCAGAACACGUCCGACGGUGAGGGAUGAAGCUGGGGGAGCAAACCGGGAUUAGAUACCCGGUAGUCCAGCUGUAACUAUGCAACUCAGUGAAUGCAAUGCCUGUGUCAAUGCAGUGCCUGCAAGGGGCAC
rnacentral:rRNA from 1 species